CCAGCGUGGUCCAGCACCUCCCAUUGGAGCUCAUGGAUGGUGUUGUCCGGAACCUCAGCAAUGAUGACAGUGUGACAGACUCGCAGAUGCUGACUGCCAUUAGCAGGCCUUUGCCUAUGCAGACCCCGUCCACCUGGCAUGCCUCCCUCUGCCAUUCUUUCCAUCCCGUGUGCAGAUCCACCGUCUUCGUAGGGCCUUCCUGGAUUCCUUGCCUUUAGUGGGUAAGAGUGUGGGCUCUCGAGGUAAGUUGCUAGAGGUCAAAUCCCGCCUCUACCACUUCUUGCCUGUGCGACCUUGGACAAGUUACUCAACCUCUCUGUUUGAGUUUCCUCAACUGUAAAAUGGAGUAUAACCAAACCCAUCAUCUAGGGUUGUUGUGAGGAUUAAAUUGGGUAAAACAAGAUAAUACACGAAACAUGUCUAGAACUGUGCUGUGGGAGACGCCGUUAUCAUUGUUAUGACUUUGCUGUCAUGGUUUUGUCUUUUUC
rnacentral:lncRNA from 1 species